UUUGGAUUAAUACCUCAUAGUAUAGCAGUUUCGCAUGAAACCACUAUUAAAGUUCCAACGGUGAAAGAUGAGUAUGCGUCCCAUUAGCUAGAUGGUAAGGUAACGGCUUACCAUGGCUACGAUGGGUAGGGGUCCUGAGAGGGAGAUCCCCCACACUGGUACUGAGACACGGACCAGACUCCUACGGGAGGCAGCAGUGAGGAAUAUUGGACAAUGGGCGCAAGCCUGAUCCAGCCAUGCCGCGUGCAGGAAGAAGGUCCUAUGGAUUGUAAACUGCUUUUAUACAGGAAGAAACACUCCCUCGUGAGGGAACUUGACGGUACUGUAUGAAUAAGGACCGGCUAACUCCGUG
rnacentral:rRNA from 1 species